rnacentral:lncRNA from 1 species
AGGAAGGCAGUGGAAACCCCACAAGUUUUUCCUCUCCCCAAAUUUUGGCCAAACUGUAAAUAAUUCCAUUUUUGCUUACCAAUCUCUGUUUUGUUUCCUAAUUUCCUUUAAAAUAGUGGGGAAACUAGGUGGUAGGUUUGUGGUAAUAGUAGACACGCACUGAGAAAAGUCUCUGAACUCUCUAAUUACAAGGCUUAGGAGCACAUUCUUGUAGCCCGGCAGUUGGGAAGUAGAAGCAGGGAGACGAGGAGGUCAAGAUCAGUCUCAGCUACGUGGUGACUCUGAGACCAGCCUGGGCUGUACGAGACGCUGUUUUUAAAAAGCAGGAUCUAGUUUUCAAGGGAAUGUUAAGUCACUCUUUGACUUUGUCUCCUGUAGUUAUAAGGAGAAAUGCUUUUGUAUUUUCCCCUUAAAUAUGUUCUGUGGAGAGACAGUGCUUUUACUCUUUUCCAUCAGAGUGUGUCCAAACUUCCCUCAACAGAGAAGGGAAUAAAAUCUUAUAAUUUUCAAGCAGCUCUUAAUUAUUACUUAUUUUUAUUUUUUUCUACUCAUUAUUACAAUAUCGUUAUUUGGAAUAGGGUCUUUAACUCAGGAUGGCCUUCAACUUGCAAUCCUCCUGCCUCAGCUUUCUAAAUGCUGGAAUUAACAGAUGUGUGGCCUCCCUUUUGUUUUGCUGUGGUGUUGGGGAUUGAGAGCCUCGUCUUUGCUGGGCAGGUGCUCUCACACUAAACCUUACCCCCAUAUAUUGUAUAAACACUAAACCGCAAAUAGAAAAUAGUUAGGAUUUGUAUAUUACAGAUAUAAAAAUAUUUGGUGAGUUGGUUAUGUCAAAAUGUCCCUACCUCCUGUUUUAAAAGAAGUACUUUCAAGAGUCCCUGGGUGGGUAUUCUUUAAUGGAGCUGCUUGGCAGAGCUGUGGUUCAGUCACAUAGAGAUCAAAGUGUUGCAUUUUACUUUCCAUCAGUCAUGUUGAGGGCUCUUACCAGCAGCCUUGUAAGAUUACUAGGCUUGAUCUAUCUUGUAAAAUUACUGACAUAAGAAGUCCAUCACUAAUCCUAACCUAGUCUAUGGAUAGUGUUUUAAGAAACCAUAUGUUAAAUGUUUUGGAUUUGGGAAUGUCUAUCUUAGUUUGGCUUUAUUUCUAGUUUACUUAAAUUCACUUAUUACUAACAACUGAAAAUUGCCAACAGCUUUAAGCCUUGCCACUAUUUCUUUCUGCUUUUCUCUCUCUAUUCCUCAUUCAGUUGUGCUCUAGUCAAGAAUAGUGAGGAUUUAAAAAUGGGUACAACAUAGUAGCUUUAUUUAUGCUUCAUAAAGCUCAAGUUGUUACUGUAAUGUCCUUCUGUGUUUGUGUGGGAGUGAAUGCUCAGAGAUCUAACAAAUCCUGUAAAGUUAACUCCUGCCACUCUUCAUUCCGCUUUUCAGAGAGUCACUCACUUACCUGUUAGGUGAUGGACUUACCCAAUUGCUCUGCUCUCCAGCAGUGCGUUGUUUGUGCCUCUUGAAUACAGUUUAGUUCCUUUAUGAGCAAAUUGGUCGGGUGGUGGCCCAAAGUCACAUCAGGAGCCUUCCUCAGGUGAUGUAUUAGAGGCUGGUCUCACAGGAAAGAAAAUAUUCCCUUGUCCUGGAAGGCAAGUGACAAUGAUCGAGUGCUAGGCCUGUCCCCUCCUUCCUCAACCCAGGCUGACCUUCUGCAGCCCCUUGGUGCCUCUUGUUUUCUUAUUUUUAUAGAAAAUCAAUAUCCCUUCUGACACAAACAAUAGCUCAGAAGCAAGAAUAAAUGGGAGAAAGCUGAGAUCUCUGUCCAUCACCUCUCACUUUAACUGCCCCAAACUCUUUAAUUACGAGUGUGCUUUGCUCCAGGUGUUUGUGACAGUGAAAUUGCUAAAUGAGGACCAUUUUAACCAAAGAUUGGGUGAUCAAUAACACUCUAUAGCAGUAGCUUGUUGGAUCAAUAGCCUUCAUUAUUUCAUGGUUAAGGUAAGUAGUCUCCUUUGCAAGUGGAGGUCAUUAAUCAGGGGUUACUGGGGCAGUGGAAAGAAUAUCUGUAGUGUUGGAACGUUGUGCUUGUCUGUAAACAGAGGUGCCGACCAAGAGCACACUUACCUUUUCUACAGUUGGCAGCAGUCCCCGAAAGGUAUUAGAAGGCUAACGGAGACUGCUUAUAUAGGCUUAGUCUGCUGGUGAAUCCUUCCAAAGAGCUGGAAAACACCUCUGGAGGCACAUAGGAGAUGGCUGUAUUUGCAGGUCUGUCCCUUAGGCUCUCCCUCCUGGAAAGAACUUUGCUAGGAAGUACAGAGCUAAAUGGUAAAUGUGUCUUAUUCUAAAGAGCACAAACUGGACCCCUUCUAAGGAUGCCACCCCUCCCUCCCCUAACACAGGAGACUGUGCUUCUUAGUCUACCUGGUACUGUGAAGUCACAUCUUAAAAGGCCUCUAAGAAACAGUUUCCAUUACCUACUUGAAUACUUAGAAAAAAACAUUAAACAUUUGGGCCAACCAGAUGCCUCAGUGGGUGAAGCUGCUUGCUAUCGAGCCUGACGGAUGAUGUGAUUCGGCCUCUAGGACCCUUGAGGUGGGAGGAAAAAACUAGUCCCCUACAAACUCUCCUCCAACAUGUGACACACAUGCACAGACAGCCAGUCAGACAAAUGUAACCAACCAUUUGCACACUCACAUCAUCAGCUGGCCUGUCAGUGAGGUUUCCUCUGCUUUAGGCUGGUGUACUGCAGAAUGUCAUAUGUCAGUUUAUCCAGAGGGGCAAGACCCAGUGUGCCUUCUUCCCAGGCAGUCCUGGCUUCAGAAAUGCAAACAUGACUUGAACUUUCCAGAUGACGUGUUGCUCCUUCCUUCACUUUCAACCUAUAACUGAGUUUUCUGUUUGGAGUAUACUUGGAUGGGGAAGGCUGGUUCUCUCUGUGUGUUUUGUAUUGUGGAUUGGAAGCAGCUACAGGGUAUUGAGUCCUGGGACAUUGAACCUCCAAGCAGACAGCUUAUUAUUACAUGGCC